rnacentral:rRNA from 1 species
CAGUCGCCGCGGUAAUACGGAGGAUCCAAGCGUUAUCCGGAUUUAUUGGGUUUAAAGGGUGCGUAGGUGGCCUGUUAAGUCAGGGGUGAAAGACGGUAGCUUAACUAUCGCAGUGCCCUUGAUACUGAUGGGCUUGAAUGAACUAGAGGUAGGCGGAAUGUGACAGGUAGCGGUGAAAUGCAUAGAUAUGUCACAGAACACCAAUUGCGAAGGCAGCUUACUAUGGUUUUAUUGACACUGUGGCACGAAAGCGUGGGGAUCAAACAGGAUUAGAUACCCGCGUAGUCCCUGUCUCUUAUAC